UGUUAUAACCCCCCCCUUCCCCUUCUCUUCUUUCUCAUUCACCCAUUCAUCAUCACAACCACAACACUAUCUUCUCUUCCUUUCUCUCUCUCUCUGUCUCUCUCAGACCCCCCUUGAAGAUAGCCAAGACUCGUGGGGGAGGGAUAGAGAGUAGUAGUGAGUGAGUGAGCCAUGAAAAUUAACAAAUUAAACCCUCUCUCUCUCUCUCUCUCUACCUCUUUCUGAGCGGUUCAACAAGAAAGAAGGGCCAUUUGAGAAGGAAGCUUUGUGUUUUGAGGGGAAUGUUGUCUGGCUCGAGGACCCUUCUUCUUCUUGAUCUUGUGUAGACUGCUAUACCUGUGGUCAAGGAAUGCUUAGUGUUUUCGGACCAGGCUUCAUUCCCCCCAAUUAUAUGCUUCCAAAUUCUUUUCAACCGAAAACCCCUAUCUUCCGAUCGAGAUUCAUCCGACCAGAAACUGACUUCGCUCAACAGAUGUUUUUUCAUAUGUAUAAACCUGGGAUCCAACCAUGGUAACAAAGUAUCAUACUAUCUUGUAGCAUCUGCUAAUGGAGUGCUUUAUAGGUAGAUCUGAGUCGUGGGGUUUGGUUUUUGGAUGAAUUAAAGAUGUUGGCAGUUUGCAGAUUGGUGUAAUGAUGAAGCAUUUUGACCUGGGGGUGGUUUCACUUGUGCGCAAAAGGUUUUCAUCAUUACUUCCUUUUCGUUUCUCUCUUUUUCUCUGAUCAAGUUAUGAUGGUGUUUUUGUUGUCAGGGUGUAACUACCUUUUUCUUCCUUCAUCAUUAGCCAGAUCUUCUCCCAAUUAUGUUUUCCAGUAUCCGAUCUGUCUGUUUCUGCCAUGUUUUCUCAGAUCUGGCCACCUUUGAAACUCAGCUAAACAUUCUCCUCUUUUUCAAGCCCCUCCCCCUCCGCCUCCCCCCCUUUUCUUUCAUUCGACCUUUCUCUCUCUACCUAGUUUCUCUCUCUAUUUAGGGUUUCGUGGCCUAUGUUAUGUCUCUAAUCUCUAUGAUUUACUUUUAUUAUGUUAAGCUGGUCCUUGAGUCUUAUAUGAAGAAGAAGAGAGUGGAUGACACCCCUUUUACUUUUAUUAUUAUUAACUAUUUUCAUUAAUCAUUUCACCAUUGUCAAACCGUGUUGUGGUCAAAUCGAGUCUUAAUUUGAUUAAAUGUGCCAUCUGUAACCAGAAUGAACAUAUGUAGCGUCAAGAGCCUUGUAGACUCCGCCCUCUGCCCUCUCUUUAUUGGAUUUUUGUGCUUCAAGUGGUCAAAAACUUGUUUCUUAAUUAAUUCCCCUUUAUUAUAAGAAACCAAUCAAGGUCUUUAAUGUGAUUUGUUACAUAAAUUGAUGAUCCUUGAAUCUGUUCUUGUUAUUAUGGGUAGCAUUUAGCUUCCUUCUAUGGCUGGAUUUAGUAAUGUCACACAGAUCUAUACUUUUUUCUGUUUGCUUUGUCAUUCGUUUUCAGUUCAAUUUGUUACUAAAAUGGGUAGAUCUGAGCAGUGAUGAUACAGAAUAGAAUCAGUUUUUCUUGUGGGUGCUGCUGAACAGUGUAAGUUUUUCAAUGGACAGCUUUAAUGUUUCCCUGGCUUUGAUAUCCCACAUUUGAUAACUGAAACCCUAAUUUCCUGCACAAUCAAACAAACAAUGUACAAGGUGCUUCUUUUUCUACUGUUUAAGUUUCGAUGUUAAUUAAUUUAUGGGCAGAGAAGAAACAAAAAAACUCUAUCAUCGAUAGCUACAGUUCUUCAAGGAUAAGGUAAUUAUUUUUUUCAUUAAGGAUAAUGAAUCUUGAUCAUGAGUUCAGGAAACAUUACAAUUGUGCGUUUUAGCCCUCUCACUAAUCAUAGAAGCAGCAAAAGAAUGUGAAUGCUUCGUUAGGAAGCAAAGAUUUUAAUGCAGGUGGUGAAUGUUUGAGCAACUGGGCAUUGUCCCAACCGGCCUCACUGCAGUGUAGUAAGCUUUUAGUUUGUUUUUGUUAUUAUUAUAUGCUUAAUAAUUUGCAAUGAUGGGACUCAAUGAUUAAUUAAUUAACAAACGAAUUUUGUUGGAGUCUUUUUAUUUAACAUUUUUUUUUUUUGCCUUGUUUUCUUCAUUAGCACGGGGAUGUGGAAGAGACUACAGCUUCAUAUUAAGUUUGAUUCAGAAUAGAAGACAAAAAGGGUCUGCACAUAGCUAGGGGCAUUGGGGAACACGAAUGACAUGAUCGAUAUCACAGCGCUCAAUGCUCAUACAGCACUACUUUUCUUUAUCACCAUUCUUGUUCACGUAUUCAUAUUACUUGCACCCAAAUUCACUUUAUUAUUUUCAACGCAACCCAUGUAUCCAUUCCAAACUAUCUUACUAUAAUAUGGUCAUAAAAAAAACUAUGCUUGUAACAAAAUACAAAUUAUGACCUCGUGAAUUGUCAUAAAAUACAAAAGACCAUACUAUGCUUGUAAUACAUUGUCCUUUUUUUUUAAUCAAAUUUCUCGGGGUAAAAGCUUUCAUUUUGACUA